rnacentral:rRNA from 1 species
CAGCAGCCACGGUAAUCCGUAGGUGGCAAGCGUUGUCCGGAAUUAUCGGGCGUAAAGGGCUCGCAGGCGGUUUCUUAAGUCUGAUGUGAAAGCCCCCGGCUCAACCGGGGAGGGUCAUUGGAAACUGGGAAACUUGAGUGCAGAAGAGGAGAGUGGAAUUCCACGUGUAGCGGUGAAAUGCGUAGAGAUGUGGAGGAACACCAGUGGCGAAGGCGACUCUCUGGUCUGUAACUGACGCUGAGGAGCGAAAGCGUGGGGAGCGAACAGGAUUAGAUACCCCUGUAGUCCCUGUCUCUUAUAC